CUGGGGCCCGCCUGCAGACUUACUCCAAAGGAGACGGAACACAGAGGACUAAACAAAGGAGACUGACUGAGGCACCUCGUACAGGCCCUGGCGGUGCCGGGCGCCGGACAGACCCCCCACGCUGAGCUCCCGACCACUAGUGGAGCGGGCAUCUGAGCCUCUGGGUCUGUGGGGUCCCCGGAGAGCUUUUGUCCCUGAUGCCGCGAGCCCGGUGGGGCAGGACCAACGCUGCCCUCCCGACGGACCGGUGGUCGGGGGGGAUAGCCACCAGCUCCAAAUAUGUGGCCGGCACCGGGUGAGACAGCAGAGUGCGCGCUCGAAGUGGACUCACGUGUAGCUGGGGAGGUGCAGGGAGCAGACGACCCGCGGAUUUUGUGGUUGGGUCCAAAGGACGGUUCAUGCUCCUGAGUGCCCACAGUGCCGCGGAGGGCCCAGCUGGCGGGCGGGGGCCGGCUGGGGGAGGACGAAAGGAGGCCUGGCGACCCAGGGACAGUAUGAUGGAGACGCAGUGAGAGACUCCUCACAGACGGCCAUGCAGGCCGACAUGAUGAUUCAGCAAGGCAUAAGUUACCUCAUCAAGAUGUGCUUUCUUACCU